UUGUAAAACAAAUUUACGUUUAUUACGGAAAGGGUAGGUACAAUACGCUGACGUCACGCAUCCGGGACUCCGGUCACGUGGGAAGAAACCCGGAAGUAUCGCCGUGAAUCACAUGAGAGUUGCAAAUGCGAUGUUGUGUAUUAGGCUGUACAUCAUAUUAACGUAAAGAGAGUGAUAAUAUAUAUCCUUUCAUCUAUUCCCGAGUGACUCAAAGGGAUAUUGGACCUUAUUUUCAGAUUACAGACAACACGAGAGGGUGCUCCAAACUUUUUAAUCAGGACUGCAUUGUUUGUUCGCUCCCGGGGUUACAUAGACUGAAAAGGGGAAGCGUGACGAGUUUGUUUACAUGGUGCUGUAAACUCCAACCCAGGAGGACACUUCAGAGGAAUCAAGGUGUCUGUGAUGUUGAAACACUAAAGGAAGAAGAGGAGGACCACCAUUUGUUUCCUGAUCAGAACACAAGAGAAGAAUCUAACAGUGGUUUGGGGGCAUUGCAAGACCAUGAUUACCUGGAAACAUCUCCUAUUCUGGAAGAGCACAACAUCAUGCUCGCAACAUUUGUGUCCUGGAUCAGUUUUUCUUGUUCCUCUGCUGUAUGAGGCAGGGGCUUCUUUCCGCAGAUUUAGCUGUAAGGUUUAAAGGUCCCGUUUUUCCUGAUCCCAUUUUUUAAACUUUAGUUAGUGUGUAAUGUUGCUGUUAGAGCAUAAAUAAUACCUGUAAAUUAUAAAGCUCAAAAUUCAAUGCCAAGCGAUAUAUUUUCUUUAAUAGAAUUUCCCUUUUAAAGCAUACAGCAAACGGACGGUUUGGACUACAGCCCUCUACUUCCCGAUUGAAUGACAUCCAAAGAAGAGUUUUUUUUUACUAACUCUCACCCACAGGAAUACGUCAGUCGCAAGCAAAGCUCAAAUGGCUCUGCUAAGUUAAGUUGCUGUUAAAUCACAACACACUAAACAAACUACUACACAAUCAAAACUCGAUAUAUAUUUCUGAAGGAGGGACUUCAUAGAACAAGGAAGAAAUCAGCCCGAUUUUAGGACAGUGAAAACAGUGCUAUAGAGAUAAGUAAUUAUGUGAAAAAUACUGUGUUUUUUUACACACAAAACAUGAACACACGCUAUAUUGCACACCAUAAACACAAUCAUAGUUUAAAAACACAGGAAAAACAGGACUUUUAAUCUGUCCAAGGCAACAGUCAGUCGAAUAUGCAUAAAAUGGGCUAAUGUCCAAACAUCUUUUCACUUCACAAGAGGUGCAAAGUUUGGACUCUCAUUCUCACGGCACCCAUUCACUGCAGAGGAUCCAAUUGUAAGCAAUGUAAUGCUGAAUUUCUCCAAAUCUGUUCCAAUGAAAAAGCAAAUGCAUCUAUAUAUUGGGUGAAAAAUUCCUUUAAUCCCAAAAACAGACUUUUUUCAUUUAAAUGUUUUUACUUUGCUUUACUAUUACAAUUUGUACAGUAAAUAGAAAAUAUACAUUGGAACAAAUUUAUAAACAGUGGUGUGAAAAAGUGUUAGCCCCAUCCAGAUUUCUCAUGUUAUUGCAUAUUUAUGUCACACUUUUAUGUUUCAGAUCAUCAAACAAAUUUAAAUAUUAGUCAAAGAAGAUAACACAAGUGAACACAUCAUGCAGUUUUUAAAUGAAGGCUUUUAUUAUUAAGGGAAAAAAAAUCUAAACUACAUGGCCCUGUGUAAAAAAGUGUAUUAGUACCCAUUGGCUUUUAAUGUAAAUAUGAUUGGUUCUAAAA